UUUGGUUCGAUAGGGAUACUCAUCAAUUAAAUUACGAAAACCGAGAACGCAUCUUUUGCCAAUGGCGGGCCACAAUAUCUCACGAUAUAGCUGUAAAGCCGGUGGAUUACAAAGGCGGAGAGCACUCAAAUCUUAUAGAUCAGGAGUUUUCAUCACAUCACCGGUACGGUCUUUUU
rnacentral:sRNA from 1 species